rnacentral:rRNA from 1 species
UACGUAGGUGGCAAGCGUUGUCCGGAAUUAUUGGGCGUAAAGCGCGCGCAGGCGGUCCUUUAAGUCUGUUGUGAAAGCCCACGGCUCAACCGUGGAGGGUCAUUGGAAACUGGGGGGCUUGAGUACAGAAGAGAAGAGUGGAAUUCCACGUGUAGCGGUGAAAUGCGUAGAGAUGUGGAGGAACACCAGUGGCGAAGGCGACUCUUUGGUCUGUAACUGACGCUGAGGCGCGAAAGCGUGGGGAGCAAACAGG